UGGUCUUUCCUUAAAAAUACCAUCUAAUUAACAUUAAUCUUAAUUCUUACAUACUGUGAGAAUGAAAAUGAAUUAAACCCUAAUAAUGAAAAAUAUGAUCAGUUAGGACAUUAUUGAUUUUUUCGCUUAUUAUUCGAAUAACAAAGUAAUUUUGGUUUUUUGGGAUUGAUUUGAGAAAAGUUACGACUCAGAAACCGAUUUGCAAUUCCGAAACCUCACACCUAGGGCCGGGGGAAAUUCACGUACUGGCUAACCCUUCUGCCCUUUGAAAAUUGUUCAAUAGUAUCUUCAAUCUCAAAGGUUUUCGGUUGUUCUGUGAGACUAGCAUUGGCAUCAUUGGAGGUUAGGAAAGCCAAACUGCAUAAACCUAGCUCUACCUAGAGGCGUUCAUUCAAGUCAUCGGAACCCAAUGUGAAAUGGCGGUCAAAAUAUGACUUAAUUGCAGAUAUCGUUCAUGAAGGCCAGUGAAGGAUCAUACAAAGUGUUCAUUCAAAGGAAGUCAGGAACAAUGAUAAUUCGUAAAUUUUAAUUUGGUGCCUCCAACUUUGUUUGAUUGUAGUUUUUUAUAAGUUAAGUUUCUUUCGCCUAAUAAUCUGCUCUUCUUGCAUCUGUGAAACUUUCAGGUGAUGUGCAGGAUUUGCUUGUUCAGAAACACUCCCUCAGAUGGUUGCUCUUUCAGAGCAGGUGUACGAGCUGCACCAGCAACACUGAAAUCUAUCAGAUUUUCCAGUAACUUGAGUUACUAGUGUCGUAAGUACUACUUUAACAUUUCUAUUCUAGUCAAUCAUCUAGCCUAUGCGCUGUAUACUUUACAUUACGAGGUGGUUGAGGCCCGAGAGUGAAAACCAGUCUGGUCGAUCUGUGCUCACACUGUAAAUCAUACCAUGUUAUAGUAUACGUAGUCUGAGACAUAGUGUAAAAAUAAGGCUGCAUCGCAUCGCAUUUGUCGCAAUGUAAAGGUUUUCAAAAUAAAUAAACAAAUAUUCCCCGCGUUGUAAAGGUGUAAAAAAACCGCGUUUUAGGCCGGAACAAGGGAUAUCUUAUAUUUCGACCGAUAUAUAGGCAUUGGGAUAACCGCAUCAAUCCCGUUAUCGCAUCACCGCUCUGUUACCGUAAUCACGACAGUUACUGCGUUUUUACACUAUGGUGAAUCGACAGUGUUUUGCAACUCGGUCUGAGGUGCUUCAAUAUUUUGCUCCCGUCUGUUAUGAAAUUAGCUGUAAACUUGUCACGUUGUCUUAACUGAAACCUCCCAUAAUCAAGGUAAUGACAUGAUUUUGCAAUAGUUUUUGACAGUGUUUCUGGUACUAAAAAACCUGCCAUAGUUACAGAAAGCCUAAUUAUGCUUGGCACUCUGGCUUGUAUUGGGGAUUAUGGUUUUCUUUUUAUAUUAUUUGGCCAACUAAAUGAGCAGACUUUUAUGGCUCUCUUUAUCUUGCCCAUGGUGCAACAACUUGUAGUUCGUGGGUAGGGAUGGUCAUGGGUCCCCUGUAGGACCCGCCCCUUUUAUAAGGGUCUGGGUCUUAAUUUUUGAGACCCGUUGGAUCCGGGUCCGGUCUGGAUCCAAAUUUUUUUUGACGGGUCCGGGUCCGGGUACUAAGAUGAAGACCCAGACCCGGACCCUAAACUUUUAAAAUUUAAAUUUUAUAUUUUUCACUGGAUGGGCGUGGAACUGGGAGCAGUGGGCCAUUCUCAUUCUCAAAUAUCAAAAAUCCUCGAAAACCCUAAUUUUUUUCUCUUCUCCAAUCUCGACUUCUCCUGUCCAGUUCUCCUCUAAUCCUGUGCGGCUGUGCCUUCUCGACUUCUCCUCUAAAUCCCUAAUCCUCCGCCUUCUCGACUUCUCGACAUCUUUCUAGUUUCUCUGGCUCUAGUCCUCCGCGGCUCCACCUCUGCGACAUCACCAUCGCCAUCGCCAUAGCCAUCACCUCGAAAACUCCAGGUAUUCCAUUUCUUUGAUUUUGUUUAAUUUUUCUUUAAUUUUUCUUUGUAUUGUGUAUUAAUUUUCUCCAUUUUUUGUUCUAGAAUCAUCUGACAUGUAAUAUAUAUGUUGUGGGAUCUCAAGAAACUGACUUGUAAAUUGUAAUAUCUGAAAUUUUGGGUCUUUUGAAACUGACUUCUCUUUCAUUAUUAGGGAUUUCGUUAUACUGUAAGUUUUUGAAUACUUAUGAUUGUUAAUUUUUUUGAUUUAUAUGUAAGUUUUAGCUUUCUGUUUUGGAAUGUAUGCCCUCAGCCCCUCACUGUAUCAUCUGUAUGCUGUGUGUCUGUAUCACUGUAUCAUCUGUAUCACUGUAUGACUGUAUGCCCUCAGCCCCUCUUAAAUCUAUUGUUAUGAUUUGAAAACGAAUUUAGAUUUAUUGUUAUGGUUUUGAUAUGAAAUAUAUUGAUUGAAUAGGUGUUUAAAUUUAGAUUUAUAGUCGUGUUCGUAUAGAUAAUGGAUGAAAAUCAAUCACAAUGUACGUCCAAAUCAGUGGCACAACCACAAAAUGAUUUUGGUAUGGAGUCAAAAAAUACAUUGAAUGUGGAUGAAGAAGGGUUCAUUAAUGAUAAUGUUGAUGGUAUUCCAAGUUCUUGCACAAAAGAUAAGGGAAGGAAAACAACCUCUGAGGCAUGGAAUUAUUUUGUAAGAGAGGAAGUAAAUGGUGUGACUAGAGCUGUUUGUAAGCAUUGUGGUGUUAGUCUAGUAACUGGUGGUAGUAGUGGAACUUCUCAUCUCUUGAAACACGCAAAGAAAGUUUGUUCAGGAAGACAUUUGAAUCUUGCACGUGGUCAAACAACUUUAAGAGUUAAGAAGGAAUGUGAUGGGUCAAGUUCUUUGGAAUAUAGUGGUAAAAGCAACCUUAAAGAGUUCGAAAGAUGCUUAUGCUUGCUCCACAGUAAUUGAUGAUUCGGAUGUUGAUGAAGAACAACAAAUAUAUGCGAUUCAACUAGAUCUUGAUGAAGUUGAAGAAGAUUGAUCAAAAUUUAUUGUAAUUUUUAAUGUUAUGAAAUAUACACUAUGUUUCUCAUUUAGUCUUUCAUAUUUGAUUUUUAAUCAUGUAUUUAGACAAGUGUUUUUACGUUUUAGUAUUUAUUUUGUAUUUGAAUUUCAUGGACUCGAACAAUUAUUUGUAAUACGAUAAUAAGUUGCUUAUAAAAAUACAAAAAAACUCGAAAAAGGUUCAAUUUUGACAAAUCAAA